UCUCUGUGCUCACAUCCCAUUCAUCCUAAAUUUCAUUUCCCUCAUAGCAAAAGUACUCCAAAUUUUCAUUUCCCUCCUCUUACGAAGAUUCAUUUCCCCCCAGUUUCCAUUAUUCUCUCAAUCCCCUCUAAUCCUAAAUCUUCAUUAUUCUCUCAAUCCCUUCUAAUCCUAAAUCAUAUAAUUCAAAUGAGAAACCCUAUCUUCCUUUUACAUAUUCAACCACCAACAGUACUCCGAAUCUAUUUUCGUUAAACCGGAACCCUAAUACCUAAUAACUGGGAAAGACAGUGGUUAUGUCAAUAAAGGUCGAACGUGAAGGUGGGUGUGCAGGGGAGGUGGCUGUUUAUGGUGGGUAAUAGAUGCGGGAAAGAUGGAGGAAACACCAGAGAUUUGAUUUGAGGAGGCGAUUUCGAUUGUUCAGUGUGACAUUGUGCGUAUGAAACUAGGGUUGGCAGGGCCGGGGGGUGGUCAACAAGGUUUCAGCCUUGAUCUUUUCAAACCUUUAUCAUCAACAGUCCAAUACUUUCUUGAGAAGCGAUCCCCAAGGCUUUCUUGGCUUUCUUCUGACAUAAAGAAACUGGUAGUUAUUUGAUAUCCGGUGGUUUUUGACUAAUGAUCUAUUUACAGGCGGUAACUGCUGCUGGAGCUUUUCUACAUGGGCUGGAGGAUGAAUACUAUAAGGGGCGGAGACAGCAUAGAACCAGCCGUAGCACGGGCUACGGCUCAAACUCGUGUUCGUAGUGUUAAUUCAUGACUAUUUGAGCGUCAUUCCCUGCGAUCUCAAGUCUGAACAGGUCAGAAACAUCGUCCCGAUUCGUCCCUGAAGCCACUCGAACCUGCGUUUCAUUGAUGCUAGUGAAAUCGUUGAUCAGAUUCGUCCAUGCGUUUUGUUGUUUGUGACAUGGCUACAAUAUAUAUAAAUACAACUGGAGGUGAUGGUUUCAUUGAUGGGCUAAGAGACAUCAGAACUGGCCACCAGUUACAAGUUUACUCACUACCACAACAAGGUAGCCACUAGCCCAUGGAUGCAAAUUUGCAGCACUUUCAAGUCAUUGCAUUGAGUAGAUACGAACUUGAAGAAAACAACCUUGAAAUAGCUCUUAGUUUUUGUGUACAUUUGUUUCCCUUUGCAGCUUUUGUAGAUAGGUGUUGCUUAUAAGUUUAUGUCUUUCGUUAGUAUUCAAAUUGAAAACUUAUGUAUGGAUUUAUGGUUAUUAAUGCUAACAUCAUUUGUAUUAUAAA